ACAUUCUGCCUUCUUUUCAUAUUGUAUAAAUAUUUCGCCUGUUACUAAAGAUUUCCAAGAAAGGAAAUAAUUUUGAGUCUUACUUUAAUUGUUUGAGGCUUUGCUUUGACAGGGCU
ensembl:snRNA U5 U5 spliceosomal RNA